AACGCACAUUGCGCCCCUCGGUACUCCGGGGGGCAUGCCUGUUCGAGCGUCAUUACACCACUCAAGCCUGGCUUGGUAUUGGGCGCCGCGGUCCGCCGCGCGCCCUCAUGUCUUCGGCUGAGCCGUCCGUCUCCGAGCGUCGUGGUACACUAGUUCCGCUUCCGAGGCCGGGCCGGCUCACUCGCCGCUAAACCCCCCAUUUUCUCAGGUUGACCUCGGAUCAGGUAGGGAUACCCGCUGAACUUAA
rnacentral:misc_RNA from 1 species